rnacentral:rRNA from 1 species
GUGCCAGCAGCCGCGGUAAUACGUAGGUGGCAAGCGUUGUCCGGAUUUAUUGGGCGUAAAGCGAGCGCAGGCGGUUUCUUAAGUCUGAUGUGAAAGCCCCCGGCUCAACCGGGGAGGGUCAUUGGAAACUGGGAGACUUGAGUGCAGAAGAGGAGAGUGGAAUUCCAUAUGUAGCGGUGGAAUGCGUAGAUAUAUGGAGGAACACCAGUGGCGAAGGCGGCUCUCUGGUCUGUAACUGACGCUGAGGCUCGAAAGCGUGGGGAGCAACAGGAUUAGAUACCCUGGUAGUCC